ensembl:snoRNA
UUCACUGAUGAAAACCGCUGUAUAGGAAGUGCCGUCUGAUGCGAUAACUGACGCUGGACUCAGCUGUUCUGAGA